GCGUUUCGCCCUGGAGAACCGAGGCGCAGCCUGGGGACCAGCAUCCCACUACAGCCCCGCCCGGGCAGCCUGGGAGGGGCCCUUUGACCUUGACCCCGCUCCUUGAAAACGCUGGAGCCGCUGAGAGCUUGCAGAGCUUGGCGUUGGCUUGGUUUGAUUUAUUUUGAUUUUCCCUAUUGAUGGCAAAGGAAAAAAAAAAAAAAAAGAAUGUAGGGGAGGUGGCACAGGGAAAUAAAGUGGGACAGAAGAGGAGAAAGAGUAUUGGCAAAAGGAAAAGGAACCGAACACCCAGUGCGUAAUAAUGAGAGCGAUAACAGCAAUGUUGGGUGCCGACCCUGGGCCAGGUCCUGAGCUGGCAGGUUGCAGGGAUUUACAGCAUGACUCCUGUGAGGUUUGAUACUCCUCUUUUCAUCUCACACGUGACGAACUGGAAGCACAGACGUUUAGUUGUUUCCUGAGGGUCACUCAGCAAGCAAACUGUGGUGCUCACGUUGCAACCCAAGGCUGGGGACUCCAAGGGUAAUACGUGUAUCUGUUUCUGCCACAAGCAGUGUCCUUGGAAGUCUUACAACUCCACAGACCACGUACUUCCUGGGCCAAAGAGCACUCCUAGUCUUUGGGGGGAUAGAAACUGAGAGAAGCAAAGAGAGACCUCCACCAUUCCAAGGUGGGACAUGUUAAAGUCCUGUUCGUGGAGAAAAGCUUUCGUGGUUGAAUGAGAGAGUUGCAAUUGUAUCUAUUUCUCUAGAGCAUUGCCAGUUGCACUUUUCAAUAAAAAAUCUUCACAUUUA